GGCUGGUCCGAUGUCAGUGGGUUAUCAGAACUUACUAACAUUAGUGUCACUGAAGCUGGUAUACAACCCCCCCACUGCUAAAUCUGACUGGCUUUAC
rnacentral:Y_RNA from 1 species